AGAGUUUGAUCCCGGCUCAGGACGAACGCUGGCGGCGUGCCUAAUACAUGCAAGUCCAACGAGAAUUUCUUACACCGAGUGCUUGCACUCACCGUAAGAAAUUCGAGUGGCGGACGGGUGAGUAACACGUGGGUAACCUGCCCAAAAGAAGGGGAUAACAUUUGGAAACAAAUGCUAAUACCGUAUAACCAUGAUGACCGCAUGGUCAUUAUGUAAAAGGUGGUUUUGCUAUCGCUUUUGGAUGGACCCGCGGCGUAUUAACUGGUUGGUAGGGUAACGGCCUACCAAGGUGAUGAUACGUAGCCGAGUUGAGAGACUGAUCGGCCACAAUGGGACUGACACACGGCCCAUACUCCUACGGGAGGCAGCAGCAGGGAAUCUUCCCCAAUGGGCGCAAGCCUGAUGGAGCAACGCCGCGCGAAUGAAGAAGGUCUUCGGAUCGUAAAAUUCUGUUGUUAGAGAAGAAUAUGAGCAAUACUAACUGAUUAUUCACUGACCGUAUCUAACCCCCAACUCACGGCUAACUACGUGCCAGCAGCCGCGGUAAUACGUAGGUGGCAAAGCGUUGUCCGG
rnacentral:rRNA from 1 species